ACUCCUACGGUAGGCAGCAGUGAGGAAUAUUGGACAAUGGGCGGGAGCCUGAUCCAGCCAUGCCGCGUGCAGGAAGACUGCCCUAUGGGUUGUAAACUGCUUUUGUACAGGAAGAAACACUCCCUCGUGAGGGAGCUUGACGGUACUGUAAGAAUAAGGAUCGGCUAACUCCGUGCCAGCAGCCGCGGUAAUACGGAGGGUCCAAGCGUUAUCCGGAAUCACUGGGUUUAAAGGGUGCGUAGGCGGAUAACUAAGUCUAAGGUGAAAGUCUGUGGCUUAACUAUAGAAUUGCCUUGGAUACUGGUUAUCUUGAAUUGGGUUGAGGAUGGCGGAAUGUGACAUGUAGCGGUGAAAUGCAUAGAUAUGUCAUAGAACACCGAUUGCGAAGGCAGCCAUCUGGGCCUUGAUUGACGCUGAGGCACGAAAGCGUGGGGAGCGAACAGGAUUAGAUACCCUGGUAGGAUAG
rnacentral:rRNA from 1 species